GGGAAAGGUGGAGGAAAUCACGCACAAAAACAAAGUAGACCUCACCAACCUCAAAAUGGAGAUGUUGAAGCAGCGAGGGGAGUUGGAGAGGGAGAGAGACAAGUUACUGAAUGUGGUGGAUGAUCUACAGACCAAGCUGGAGAUCAGCAAACACAAGAGUGACCAGCAGGCUCGGGCCCUGGUGGAGAAGGAGAGGGAUGCUGUCCGUAGGGUGCAGGCCGCCAGGGAGGAGGAGUUUGUCAAACUGACCAAGGUUGAGAGUGAAAAGCUGGCUUUGGAGACCAAACUGCAGGAAAUGGACAGGCGGAAGAUUGAUCAAGAAGCGUACAAACACGCAGAGAAAGAGAAAAUGGAGGAUCGAAUCCGAGCAACAAACGACGCAAAGGAAGCGGCAGAGCGUGAACUUCUAGUCCUAAAAAGCAAAGUUGAUCAUCAUAACUCUCUACAGAACCAGUUAGAACGUGAACGCAGUGAAAACUCAGACUUAAAAAGUAAAAUUUCGAGAUUAGAAACUGAAGUUAAUGCAUACCUCGGAAAUGAACAUGAUAUGACGGAUGAUAAUUUACGUCUGAGAAAUCAAGUAGAGUUACUAAAGGAGGAAAUCAAACUGACCAAGUCUCAGUUAAAGAAAGUGCAGGACAAUCAUGACAUUAUCUUGAUGCAGCAAAAAUCAGCAUUCACUGAGGAGAAAGCCCAAGUGGACCAUAGGCUACAGGAGUUACACGGACAGCUGAAGGAACUGCAUGGGAAGUACCAGAGGGCACUCACAGCCUAUAAAAAGUACAAGAAGAAAAGUAUACAUGUGGUGGAAAGAUUAAAAGACAAAGUAGAAAUUUUGGAAGCCAAGAAUGUAGAAAUUGAAUUAGAAAAGAAGGCUCUACAAGCCUGUGUACCUCAGGAUAUGUAUAGCAAGCUGAAGAAACAGUGGAAGGACCUACAAAGGCGCCACAAUGAGUAUAAGAAGGUCCUUCUGUCCAGCGUAUUCCCCGUCACCAUCGGAGACAUGUCCUUCGCCAACGUCACAAUGCCGGCAGAUCUGACCUUCCUACCGGGCAACAUCAGCUACACUGAACAGCAUUAGUAAAACAUGACUCCAUCAUAGCUAGAGGAGAGAAAGCAUCAGGAGGACUUGCGACUUCUAAAGCAGAGGCUUGACCGGGUGGACGACAACCAGCGGAAACAGUUGGACGAGCUGCAGGAGAUCGCCAGCAGUACCUUCCGUGGGACGUUCCCGGACCUGGACGAGAAGAUCGGGGAGCGGAUCGUAGAGGAGAAGAUUGUGGAGACAGAGACUGUGAUAGAACAUGAGAGGAUUGUGAAAGAUGUCAGUGUGGAGGAACAUUUGGAGGAAAGCAUGGAAAAAGCCGACCCGGAGAAGUCCAGUUGAUGACGGGGUCAGGGGUCGUCAGUCUAAUUCAUACUCAGUUACUGCUGUAACAGUGUCAUGGUUGUAUUAACGCAGGAAACACGGCUUGUAACACAUCACAUGUAUGCCAGUGCUAUAAUUACAAUGGUGAAAUUGAUUUUCAUAAUUUACUCCUCAGUGAAAGGAAAUUUUUUAAUCUGGACAAGAUUUAAAAUGUCUUAAUCAUCAAUUGUCACUCCAUGCCUUGGUUGGCAGUCAUUAAGGAGAUGGUACAUGUGUUUAAUAUUCCUGCCAUUUGAUAAUUACAGGCCACCUGAUUACAGAUGUUAUAUUUAUACCAGUAACUCUCUUCUCUAGCUGUGAUAUGGACCUAGUGGAUAUUUUCUCUCGAUAUAUACAUGUAUUCAUGCCAGUUAUUUUUUGUUAUUUGAUACUGAGCUCUUAUUUAUCUCCCUGUGCCUUGAUGUAGACUAACAACCAGUAGGUGGAUAAUGUAGCAGCAACGAGGUGCUUUGAUGCAUGUUGUAAUUAGCACUGGAUGAAACAUCAGCUGAUCUGUAGUGGUACAUUUUCUAUAAUGUGUAGUUCAGUAGUUUUCAUUUAUAUUUUUAUACAAGUCAUAUAUCUGUAAGGUAAUGUCAAUUCUAUCUUUAUACAUUUUACACAAAUUUCAACUUAUUCAUCCCUCAUAAAGAACUGUUAUUUCUGGUACAUGGAGAUUGCGAGUUCAGUAGAUUUGUUGUUGUCUGAUAUUUUAUUACGAGAAUAAAUUAUUUAUGAUGAU
rnacentral:misc_RNA from 1 species